AUUGAACGCUGGCGGCAGGCGUAACACAUGCAAGUCGAGCGGAUGAAGGGAGCUUGCUCCUGGAUUCAGCGGCGGACGGGUGAGUAAUGCCUAGGAAUCUGCCUGGUAGUGGGGGAUAACGUCCGGAAACGGGCGCUAAUACCGCAUACGUCCUGAGGGAGAAAGUGGGGGAUCUUCGGACCUCACGCUAUCAGAUGAGCCUAGGUCGGAUUAGCUAGUUGGUGGGGUAAAGGCCUACCAAGGCGACGAUCCGUAACUGGUCUGAGAGGAUGAUCAGUCACACUGGAACUGAGACACGGUCCAGACUCCUACGGGAGGCAGCAGUGGGGAAUAUUGGACAAUGGGCGAAAGCCUGAUCCAGCCAUGCCGCGUGUGUGAAGAAGGUCUUCGGAUUGUAAAGCGCUUUAAGUUGGGAGGAAGGGCAGUAAGUUAAUACCUUGCUGUUUUGACGUUACCAACAGAAUAAGCACCGGCUAACUUCGUG
rnacentral:rRNA from 1 species